rnacentral:rRNA from 1 species
GAUGAACGCUGGCGGCGUGCCUAAUACAUGCAAGUCGAGCGAACGGACGAGAAGCUUGCUUCUCUGAUGUUAGCGGCGGACGGGUGAGUAACACGUGGAUAACCUACCUAUAAGACUGGGAUAACUUCGGGAAACCGUAGCUAAUACCGGAUAAUAUUUUGAACCGCAUGGUUCAAAAGUGAAAGACGGUCUUGCUGUCACUUAUAGAUGGAUCCGCGCUGCAUUAGCUAGUUGGUAAGGUAACGGCUUACCAAGGCAACGAUGCAUAGCCGACCUGAGAGGGUGAUCGGCCACACUGGAACUGAGACACGGCCCAGACUCCUACGGGAGGCAGCAGUAGGGAAUCUUCCGCAAUGGGCGAAAGCCUGACGGAGCAACGCCGCGUGAGUGAUGAAGGUCUUCGGAUCGUAAACCUCUGUUAUUAGGGAAGAACAUAUGUGUAAGUAACUGUGCACAUCUUGACGGUACCUAAUCAGAAAGCCACGGCUAACUACGUG